GACGAACGCUGGCGGCAUGCCUAACACAUGCAAGUCGAGCGAGUAGAUCCCUUCGGGGUGAAGCUAGCGGCGGACGGGUGAGUAACACGUGGGCAACCUGCCUCAUAGAGGGGAAUAGCCUUCCGAAAGGAAGAUUAAUACCGCAUAAGAUUGUAGCUUCGCAUGAAGCAGCAAUUAAAGGAGCAAUCCGCUAUGAGAUGGGCCCGCGGCGCAUUAGCUAGUUGGUGAGGUAACGGCUCACCAAGGCGACGAUGCGUAGCCGACCGGAGAGGGUGAUCGGCCACAUUGGGACUGCGACACGGCCCAGACUCCUACGGGAGGCAGCAGUGGGGAAUAUUGCACAAUGGGGGAAACCUUGAUGCAGCAAUGCCGCGUGAGUGAUGACGGCCUUCGGGUUGUAAAGCUCUGUCUUCGGGGACGAUAAUGACGGUACCCGAGGAGGAAGCCACGGCUAACUACGUGCCAGCCGCCGCGGUAA
rnacentral:rRNA from 1 species